UCCCAUCGAAUUUGUGAAGAGCUUAAUUUCACAUUUUUAAUAAUACAGAUAAAGAUGGUUGAAAGGAAACCUACAAAUUCAUAAAAUCAUAGGUAUACCAAAUUGUUAUUACAACGGGUACGGUGUAAUAACUAAUAACAAUCAGAAGUUACAACAAGAUCGAUGAAACGGGAACGAACAAACUAAACUACUUGUGGCUGCCUGUCGAAUCUUCAUCAGUCAUCAUUGAGUAGUAAGCAGCUUCCUCCCAAUCCUGCUGUGGGUGAAUGCAUGGCCGAUGCCGGGGCUGUGGCUUGGGUUGGUAGGCCGAACGUCCUCUGUCGCUCCGGGAACACCACCUUCUGCGGGAGUGAUUGUGCCCUCCAUCAUCCCUGCUUUUGUGGCCGAAGCAGUGCUAGCUGACGACUGCACUGCUAGCAGGUAUCUUCUAGGAGUACUUGCUAGUAUCAUAGUAGGAGUGCAAUGAGCUGACAUGACUUGACAGGUUAGAACUAGGACUACUACCAUUACAGCAACUGUGCUCAUAUUAUUGUAUGAUUUUUGGAUGGCCAUUGCUAGCUCGAAGGGGAAAGCUCUAGUAGUGAUGAAACUAGCUGAAGGAAGAUGGGUUACUUCAAGUUACCUUGCCUCUAGCUUAGCUUGGUCGAUGGCU
rnacentral:lncRNA from 1 species